rnacentral:rRNA from 1 species
CUGCUCCUACGGGAGGCAGCAGUGAGGAAUAUUGGUCAAUGGGCGGGAGCCUGAACCAGCCAAGUCGCGUGAGGGAAGACGGUCCUAUGGAUUGUAAACCUCUUUAGGCGGGGAGCAAUGCCGGGCACGCGUGCCCGGAGGGAGAGUACCCGCAGAAUAAGCAUCGGCUAACUCCGUGCCAGCAGCCGCGGUAAAACGGAGGAUGCGAGCGGUAUCCGGAUUUAUUGGGUUUAAAGGGAGCGUAGGCGGAUUUUUAAGUCAGCGGUAAAAUGUCCGGGCUCAACCCGGGCCGGCGGUUG